rnacentral:rRNA from 1 species
UACAGAGGAUGCAAGCGUUAUCCGGAAUCACUGGGCAUAAAGCGUCUGUAGGUGGUUUGGUAAGUCUGCUGUUAAAGACUGGGGCUCAACCCCAGAAAAGCAGUGGAAACUGCUAGACUUGAGUGUGGUAGAGGUAGAGGGAAUUCCUAGUGUAGCGGUGAAAUGCGUAGAUAUUAGGAAGAACACCAAUGGCGAAGGCACUCUACUGGGCCAUAACUGACACUGAGAGACGACAGCUAGGGGAGCAAAUGGGAUUAGAUACCCCAGUAGUCCUAGCCGUAAACGAUGGAUACUAGAUGUUGCACGUAUUAACCCGUGCAGUAUCGUAGCUAAGGCGUUAAGUAUCCCGC